CUGAGAGAUCAUCUGGUCUAAUGCCUUUCAAAUUCUCCUCCUGUAAAUCCUAGAAGACUCACUCAGAGGCACUACCAAGGGAGAUGAAGAAAAACCAGCUCAGCAGAUGAUAUUUAACACCAGAAACUGGAUGAGAUCACCAAAACAAAGAGAUGGGGAGUAUACAGAGAGAAGAGGACAUGUCAAAUAGCUGAGCCACUGGGUAUUUCUAUCAUUGAAAAACUGGGAGAAGAGGAGAAACCAACAAAAGAGAUCAAAAAGAAGCAUGCAGUAAGGUUAUUAGGGUGGACCCAAAUCCAAUAUGACUGGUACCCUUCUGAGAAGAGGAGAUUAAGUCACAGACAUACACUAAGAGAUGACAAUGUGAACAUAUGGGGAGAAGACAGCUAUCUACAAGCCAAGGAGAGAAGCCUCAGAAGAAAUUUUUCCUGCUGACUCCUUGAUCUCAGAUCUCUA